UCGAACGCUGAAGCCUGGUGCUUGCACCGGGUGGAUGAGUGGCGAACGGGUGAGUAACACGUGAGUAACCUGCCCCUGACUUCGGGAUAAGCCCGGGAAACUGGGUCUAAUACCGGAUACGACCAUCGGACGCAUGUCUGGUGGUGGAAAGUUUUUUCGGUUGGGGAUGGGCUCGCGGCCUAUCAGUUUGUUGGUGAGGUAAUGGCUCACCAAGACGACGACGGGUAGCCGGCCUGAGAGGGCGACCGGCCACACUGGGACUGAGACACGGCCCAGACUCCUACGGGAGGCAGCAGUGGGGAAUAUUGCACAAUGGGGGAAACCCUGAUGCAGCGACGCAGCGUGCGGGAUGACGGCCUUCGGGUUGUAAACCGCUUUCAGCAGGGAAGAAGCGCAAGUGACGGUACCUGCAGAAGAAGUACCGGCUAACUACGUGCCAGCAGCCGCGGUAAUACGUAGGGUACGAGCGUUGUCCGGAAUUAUUGGGCGUAAAGAGCUCGUAGGUGGUUGGUCACGUCUGCUGUGGAAACGCAACGCUUAACGUUGCGCGUGCAGUGGGUACGGGCUGACUAGAGUGCAGUAGGGGAGUCUGGAAUUCCUGGUGUAGCGGUGA
rnacentral:rRNA from 1 species